UAUCUAGUUGUUAUCAAUGGCUC
rnacentral:snRNA from 1 species